CCUGUUUACCAAGUGGGUGAGAGGGUUUGGUUAUCUUCGCACAACAUCAGGCUUAAAGUUCCUAGCAUGAAAUUUGCUCCUAGGUUCCUUGGGCCUUUUCGUGUCCUUCGGAGGCUCAAUCCCGUUUCGUACUCUCUGGCCCUUCCGGUCUCCUUGAAAAUUCCUAACUACUUUCAUGUCUCUUUGCUCUUAUUUGCAAUAAAUAUAC